GCUUCGUUGGCUCAGUUGGUAGAGCGUGAGUCUCAUAAUCUCAAGGUCGUGAGUUCGAGCCUCACACGGAGCA
rnacentral:tRNA from 3 species